AUAACCAAAGUAUAAAAUUUAAUUUACAGUGACACGUGGGCCCAUGAACGACCAAAAGUAUCAAAAGCGGUAAACCUACAGUUUUUGAGGAUGCAAGUCCAACUGUAGCCCUCAACAAAGUGAGCUAUCUACCGACUAUCUUGAGCCUGAAAUGGGUGGAAAGGAGGGUGGUGAGAUUAUAUAAUCCCAGUGAGUAAACAAAUAUCAUCUAAAAUAUCUAAAACUGAG
rnacentral:lncRNA from 1 species